rnacentral:misc_RNA from 1 species
UUGAUUCAUUUAAUAAAUCACUCAGACUGCAAUGUUACGCAAGAGUUUGAUUGGGUCCACCGGGGGGACCGGCCUGCCUUUCGGCGGCGGUCUCCCCCGAGGCAACGCGGUCGGACAACAGUGGGUUGUGUUUUUACCCCCGCGGCAAGCCUCGAUUUCUCGAGGCCGCGGCGUGGGUUUGGCACUUUUAAUGAUCCCUCCGCAGGUUCACCUACGGAGA